rnacentral:rRNA from 1 species
UACGGAGGGUGCGAGCGUUGUCCGGAUUUACUGGGCGUAAAGCGCGUGUAGGCGGCCCGUUUAGUCUGUCGUGAAAUCUCCCGGCUUAACCGGGAUGGGUCGACGGAUACUGGCGAGCUUGAGGGGAGCAGAGGAAGGUGGAAUUCCCGGGUGUAGUGGUGAAAUGCGUAGAUAUCGGGAGGAACACCAGUGGCGAAGGCGGCCUUCUGGGCUCUACCUGACGCUGAGACGCGAAAGCGUGGGGAGCGAACCGG